rnacentral:rRNA from 1 species
GAUGAACGCUAGCUACAGGCUUAACACAUGCAAGUCGAGGGGCAGCAUGACCUAGCAAUAGGUUGAUGGCGACCGGCGCACGGGUGAGUAACACGUAUCCAACCUACCGGUUAUUCUGGGAUAGCCUUUCGAAAGAAAGAUUAAUACCGGAUAGUAUAACGAGAAGGCAUCUUUUUGUUAUUAAAGAAUUUCGAUAAUCGAUGGGGAUGCGUUCCAUUAGUUUGUUGGCGGGGUAACGGCCCACCAAGACAUCGAUGGAUAGGGGUUCUGAGAGGAAGGUCCCCCACAUUGGAACUGAGACACGGUCCAAACUCCUACGGGAGGCAGCAGUGAGGAAUAUUGGUCAAUGGACGAGAGUCUGAACCAGCCAAGUAGCGUGAAGGAUGACUGCCCUAUGGGUUGUAAACUUCUUUUAUAUGGGAAUAAAGUGAGCCACGUGUGGCUUUUUGUAUGUACCAUACGAA